rnacentral:rRNA from 1 species
GACGAACGCUGGCGGCGUGCUUAACACAUGCAAGUCGAACGGAAAGGCCCUGCUUUUGUGGGGUGCUCGAGUGGCGAACGGGUGAGUAACACGUGAGUAACCUGCCCUUGACUUUGGGAUAACUUCAGGAAACUGGGGCUAAUACCGGAUAGGAGCUCCUGCUGCAUGGUGGGGGGUGGAAAGUUUCGGCGGUUGGGGAUGGACUCGCGGCUUAUCAGCUUGUUGGUGGGGUAGUGGCUUACCAAGGCUUUGACGGGUAGGCGGCAUGAGAGGGUGACCGGGCACAUGGGGACUGAGAUACGGACCAGACGCCUACGGGAGGCAGCAGUGGGGAAUAUUGCACAAUGGGCGGAAGCCUGAUGCAGAAACGCCGCGUUCGGGAAGACGGCCUUCGGGGUGUAAACCGCUUUCGCCUGUGACGAAGCGUGAGUGACGGUAAUGGGUAAAGAAGCACCGGCUAACUACGUG